UGUUUUAUAGUUUAAUUUUAUAAAAAUAUUAAUUUUGUAAAUUAAAGAUAUAAAAAUUUUUAUUAAAACAA
rnacentral:tRNA from 1 species